AGGGGUAUAGCUCAGUGGUAGAGAGCCUGCUUAGCGUGCAUGAGGUCCUGGGUUCAAUCCCCAGUACCAUCA
rnacentral:tRNA from 1 species